UGCUGUCUCUCUGUUUGCCUCCUAGCAUGGUGUAUCCCGGCGGGGCCUCAAACACACAUGGGGGAAUCUCUCCGGCUCGACAUGACACUGCAGCACACAGAGAUGGUCUGUUCUGGUCCUGGUGAUCAGCUCUACGUUGGAUGCUGCGUACACCUGAAAGAGGAAGAGACGUUUGACUCUUGUGUUCUGUUGACAGUGGCUUUACUUCCUGAUUGAACGUAUUGAGGUGGUAACCAUUCCCUCUGCCGCAAACUGAGUUUUUUCAUUUUGUUUGCCAAAAGACAAAAAAUGUUUUUGUCACUGAGCCAAAACAAAACCAUAACACUAUCAAACCAUGAAUUAGUGUUAGUAGUCUGCAGUAUAUAGGUCAACGUCUUCAAGCUACAGUCCAGAGCACAAUACUGGAAUUACUCACUAGUGACCACAAAAAGAAAGUGCUGAUUAAAAAUUGAGCAGGCUGCUGAAUUUAAGUUUACUAUGGGCUAAAAAGCCAGGAAGAGCGCAACGCAACAGGAGUUGCCCGUUAAUGUUUGUAACUCUAGAUCAAUGAUGCAGAAAAUAGAUGCUUUUCGGGCAGCAGUAUUUUACUGUAGAGCCUGUCUGAAGUGCUUUUAAACCACUAGUGACAGAUGGUCCUGGGUGUCUGACACUUGUCUCCCAUCGAUCCCUCCAGGGGGGCAAGAAAACAAAUGGGGUCAAGGUAAUACAUGUGUCUGCAUGAAACAUAGACUGCUUUUUUUAACUUAAUUUGAUAAGCCAUCUGGCCUUUUUAUGUGCAGAUGAAUUUUUGCUCAUCUGAGAGUAAGGAAUUCAUGCGUAACUGUCUUUUUAAAAUAAAUACCAUAAAUCUUAAAA